CUAACGGCACUCCUUACUAAUGCAAGUCGAGCGAACAGAUAGAGAGAGCUGUGCUCCUUUGACGUUAGCGGCGGACGGGUGAGUAACACGUGGGUAACCUACCUAUAAGACUGGAAUAACUCCGGGAAACCGGGGCUAAUGCCGGAUAACAUUUAGAACCGCAUGGUUCUAAAGUGAAAGAUGGUUUUGCUAUCACUUACCCAUGGACCCGCGCCGUAUUAGCUAGUUGGUAAGGAAGGGGGGGGAGGGCACGAUACGAAGCCGACCUGAAAGUUGUUCGGCCUAAUGC
rnacentral:rRNA from 1 species